CAACUUUUAACAACGGAUCUCUUGGUUCUCGCAUCGAUGAAGAACGUAGCAAAGUGCGAUAACUAAUGUGAAUUGCAUAUUCAGUGAAUCAUCGAGUCUUUGAACGCAACUUGCGCUCAUUGGUAUUCCAAUGAGCACGCCUGUUUCAGUAUCAAAA
rnacentral:rRNA from 2 species